UUUUUACGUGAUGGACCGGCGGUCCAUAUAUAUAUAUAUAUAUAUUUUUACGUGAUGGACCGGCGGUCCAUAUAUAUAUAUAUAUAUAUAUAUAUAUAUUACGUUAUGGACCGGCGGUCCAUUACGUAAAAA